ACGCACGCUGGCGGCGUGCUUCACACCUGCCAGUUGAACGGAAAGGCCCUGCUUUUGUGGGGUGCUCGAGUGGCGAACGGGUGAGUAACACGUGAGUAACCUGCCCUUGACUUUGGGAUAACUUCAGGAAACUGGGGCUAAUACCGGAUAGGAGCUCCUGCUGCAUGGUGGGGGUUGGAAAGUUUCGGCGGUUGGGGAUGGACUCGCGGCUUAUCAGCUUGUUGGUGGGGUAGUGGCUUACCAAGGCUUUGACGGGUAGCCGGCCUGAGAGGGUGACCGGCCACAUUGGGACUGAGAUACGGCCCAGACUCCUACGGGAGGCAGCAGUGGGGAAUAUUGCACAAUGGGCGGAAGCCUGAUGCAGCAACGCCGCGUGCGGGAUGACGGCCUUCGGGUUGUAAACCGCUUUCGCCUGUGACGAAGCGUGAGUGACGGUAAUGGGUAAAGAAGCACCGGCUAACUACGUG
rnacentral:rRNA from 1 species